rnacentral:lncRNA from 1 species
GGCCGGUGCAGUGGCUCACACCUCUCAUCCCAGUUCUUUGGGAGGCCGAGGCCAGCGGAUCACGAAGUCAGGAGAUCAAGACCAUCCUGGCCAACACAGUGAAACCCCGUCUCUUCAAAUAUACAAAGAAUUAGCCAGAGAAGCAGGGAAUCUGGAAUUUUGGGUGAAAUGUCUGUUUCCAGAAGGUGAAAAUGCUCUCAAAUGGAAAAUUCAGGGUCAGAAUGGCCUUGGGUACUGCACACUUCCUACCAGGAAUAGAAGGCGCCAGAGCUAUAGCACUUCUCUUCCCUUUAGUUCUUUGGAAGGAUGAGCAAAUUAUUCACCCUCUCUGAGCCUCAGUUUCCUCAUCCAUAAAAUGAUGACAGUACACCAACCUCGCAGGUCACAAGGAUGUUAUGAAAUCAGGUCCUUUCCAACACCUCCUUCAGAGAAGCUCCCUGGCUCCAGGCAGUGCUUGCUCCCCUCACUGCAGCAGGAAGCCUAACUUGCGAACUGCAGGUGUGCUCCAGGUGGUCACUGGAUGCAAGGCAUUGACAGAUGGAUCCCAUCGAUACCCCCACUGCAAAACCAUAGUGCAGUGAAUAGAAGACACUUCUCUGCACCCCAAAAGCUCCAUGCUGAUUGUGAGAAGGAAAUGCUGGAUGGAGGGGUUCCUGGAACUACUGUGAGGGAUGAUACUCCAAAUUGAUACUUAAUAUACAGAAAUGACUAUCAUGGACAUAACCCACAACAUGUGAAAUGUAUGGCUCAUUCUACUGACAUUAUACAGGAAAGUUAA